AACGACUCUCGGCAACGGAUAUCUCGGCUCACGCAUCGAUGAAGAACGUAGCAAAAUGCGAUACUUGGUGUGAAUUGCAGAAUCCCGUGAACCAUCGAGUUUUUGAACGCAAGUUGCGCCCGAAGCCAUCCGGCUGAGGGCACGCCUGCCUGGGCGUCACGC
rnacentral:rRNA from 17 species